GAUGAACGCUGGCGGCGUGCCUAAUACAUGCAAGUCGAGCGAACGGACGAGAAGCUUGCUUCUCUGACGUUAGCGGCGGACGGGUGAGUAACACGUGGAUAACCUACCUAUAAGACUGGGAUAACUUCGGGAAACCGGAGCUAAUACCGGAUAAUAUUUUGAACCGCAUGGUUCAAAAGUGAAAGACGGUCUUGCUGUCACUUAUAGAUGGAUCCGCGCUGCAUUAGCUAGUUGGUAAGGUAACGGCUUACCAAGGCAACGAUGCAUAGCCGACCUGAGAGGGUGAUCGGCCACACUGGAACUGAGACACGGUCCAGACUCCUACGGGAGGCAGCAGUAGGGAAUCUUCCGCAAAGGGCGAAAGCCUGACGGAGCAACGCCGCGUGAGUGAUGAAGGUCCUCGGAUCGUAAAACUCUGUUAUUAGGGAAGAACAUAUGUGUAAGUAACUGUGCACAUCUUGACGGUACCUAAUCAGAAAGCCACGGCUAACUACGUG
rnacentral:rRNA from 1 species